rnacentral:lncRNA from 1 species
AAAAGAUGGGGUCAGGGAACCUGGUGGCCCCGCGCUGCCGCCUCAAGUUCUGCAAGAAGGAGUUCAACGUCGUCUUAGAAAAGAGAAAGCGGAAACCCGGCUGUUAGCCAAAGGCAGAUACCCCUUCAGUGACUGCAGGUCUUCAGCCUUUCCCAGCGCCUCACACUGCCUCCUCCAGGUGUGUGCCAGAAAAGCUACGUGAACACUUUGAAUAUGCUGACCCCUGCUGACCAUAUGAAAAGGAGCUGGAUUUUAAGUGUAUUAGGUAUG